rnacentral:rRNA from 1 species
CAAUAGCGUAUAUUAAAAUUGUUGCAGUUAAAAAGCUCGUAGUUGGAUUUCUGGUUGAAGCGACCGGUCGGGCGUUGAUUCGUCUGCACUGGAGUCGGUUUUGGCCAUCCUCUAGGAAAGUGCGUCUGGUAUUAAGUUAUCGGGCGUAUGAUCCUGGUCUUUUACUGUGAAAAAAUUAGAGUGUUUAAAGCAGGCCUUCGCCUUGAAUACAUUAGCAUGGAAUAAUAAGAUAGGACUUUGGUCUAUUUUGUUGGUUUGCAGACCGAAGUAAUGAUUAAUAGGGAUAGUUGGGGGUAUUUAUAUUCCGAUGUCAGAGGUGAAAUUCUUAGAUUUUCGGAAGAUAAACUUAUGCGAAAGCAUUUACCAAGGAUGUUUUCAUUAA